rnacentral:rRNA from 1 species
CGGAGCAUGUGGCUUAAUCGACGCAACGCGAAGAACCUUACCAGGUCUUGACAUACCAUUGACAGGCGCAGAGAUGUGCUCUCCUUCGGGCAAUGGAUACAGGGUGGUGCAUGGUUGUCGUCAGCUCGUGCCGUGAGGUGUUGGUUAAGUCCGCAACGAGCGCAACCCUCAUUGUUAGUUACUACCAUUCAGUUGAGGACUCUAAUGAGACUGCCAACGAUAAGUUGGAGGAAGGUGGGGAUGACGUCAAAUCAUCAUGCCCUUUAUGACCUGGGCUACAAACGUACUACAAUGGCCAAUACAAAGAGAUGCGAAGCGGUGACGUGGAGCGAACCUCAGAAAGUUGGUCUCAGUUCAGAUUGAAGUCUGCAACUCGACUUCAUGAAGGCGGAAUCGCUAGUAAUCGCGGGUCAGCAGACCGCGGUGAAUACGUUCCCGGGUUUU